ACGCUCGACACCUACGGGAGCAGCAGUAGGGAAUCUUCCACAAUGGGCGGCAAGCCUGAUGGAGCAACACCGCGUGAGUGAAGAAGGGUUUCGGCUCGUAAAGCUCUGUUGUUGGAGAAGAACGUGCGUGAGAGUAACUGUUCACGCAGUGACGGUAUCCAACCAGAAAGUCACGGCUAACUACGUGCCAGCAGCUGCGGUAAUCUGAGCGGGCUGGCAAGGC
rnacentral:rRNA from 1 species